rnacentral:misc_RNA from 1 species
GUUCAUAUUGUGAUCGUGGAUAAAUUAGGAACAUCGUUGACCCAUACAAAUAUAAAUUUCAUAAAUAAGAUACAGAGGUUAUGCAUGGAUAUGGAGCGUUGGGAGUAGAUCAGACAUGUUCAUUCUAUUUUAGAGUGCCUUGUUCACAUUAAUUUGCUGGUGCGAUUUUGAAGAAAAUAAUUUUAAGACUCGCAUUGACAUGUAAUCGGCAAUGAAAAAUAUUGGUACCCUUCCUAAUUCAGCACCUCUCCAUUUUCUUCUAGGUAAGGCAACAAUUUUGUCAGCUUCCGAGCCUGUUGCGGUCAAAACAAACAGUGGAAACAGUAUAGCCAGAAACCCACAGCUCACUAGUGGAGAGAAAAGAAACAUUGCCAGUACACAUGGAUUUCCAAAACCAGCAAAAAAUGCCCAGUUUGAUUCAAAGAAGUCCAGCCUCUUGUCUAAGCUUAGUCCAGACAGAUUCCACUUAUACUCAAAACAAUAGUAUGCAUACAACCAUGACAGAAGCAUAAAAUUUAGAGCUUUUCCUAUGUAGGGGAUAAAUCCAGUAACAUAAACCUCCAUCAAGAAGAAAGUCAGCAAGAGGACCGAAUAAAGCUGCUCCGCUAUACUGAUCAUAACCCCUU